rnacentral:snRNA from 1 species
AAGAUCAUUAGAAAUAACUUAAGUGCAAACUUUGGACCAAUCCAGAGAAGAUUCACGUGGCCUCUGGGCAAGGGUGACACACGAAUUACGGCAGCAUUCCAUAUUUUU